ACAAAAGUUACUAUAUGUAUUAAAACAACUCAAGAGUUCAAAAGACACGACACUGGGUUGAUAGUAUCUAUUACAAAAUGACUCUUAACACUUGGAGGACACACUCAAUUGGAGGACACACUCAACCUGUAAAGAUAGUUUCUUCGAAACAGAGAUCCACCACUUCGAUUUCACUGCAAAUCACCUGCUUACAGAUAUCAUGUUACAUAUCACCAGGA
rnacentral:misc_RNA from 1 species